CCCCAGGUAGCACAUACCACGGUCUCUACUGGUAGCACUGCAGGUGAAGUUUGUGAGCUGCUGGGCACCAUUUACCUGAGCUCGUGUGACUUCAUCCCACUCAGUGACUUGCUGCCUCGUGGUGGACAAGCUGCUUGUAGCUCUUGGUGACUUCAGUUUCCCUGGGUAGCAUAGGAUCUUUGAUCUCUGGUUAGUGGCACAGUUUGCUCAGCAUUCAUACAGACGGCUUUGGGGAGGUAAGGGGUCCGUGGAACCAGGCUUCAGGUCCGUUCAGAACGUGUCUGUGCAGCACCUGAUGCGCUGCAGACCUCAGACCUGCCUGGCUCUUAAAACUGCUGCAAAGCUGCUUGCUCGGGAUGAUAAGCAGCCCUCACGUUGCAAUCCCUUUUCAAGCAGAGAACUGCGUCUGAAACAAUUGAUGGCAGCACAGCCACCGGCUUGCCCUUUAGUGGAUUUUUGCAGCGCAGCACUCUGUCUCGUCCAAUUUCAGACGAAUGCAGCGUGCUGGCAAGCUGUACGCCACGUGCUGCACAGCAGUGGGAGAGCCCCUGUGCAUCACUGCCUGCUCCAGCCCCAGCAAAGGUCUGCUGAGAAGCUUGCUUUCCUUUACAUGGUUGCUUUUCAAAGGAUGUUUGCAGAUUGCUGAUAGGAGGCAGGUGAGAUUUCUGCUUGUACCUGGAUGCUGAGCAGAAAGAACGUGGGUCCUCCUUGAGUAGCAUGAGGCCAGGUGACUUCUGAUGAUGGUCCUGUAAUGAGAUUUUUCAUCCUCUCUCUCUUCCUGUUCUCAGAAGAGCUCGGAUUAAAGAUGAACUCUGAAGCACGAUGGGACGGAUCUGCCUGCCUCUGGCUGGAGCAGACACAGGAGAGCCGGGGAUUAUUACUUGGCCAGUUUGUAGGUUUGUUUGAAGUGGUGCUUUGAUGUGGCAAUGGGAGUUGAUGGAAGGUAAACGGUGUCUAGACAGGUUUUUCCUCGCUCUGUUGUUGUUUCUGAAGCAGCAGCAGUGCCAAACAGGCUGAACAGCUCCGGGAUGCAAGAAGCAGGGCUAUUUCUAGAAAGAGAGAACAAUGGCUCUUUAGGAAGAUCCAAACCAGUUCUCACCGAACCCCUGUCAAACCCGCUGCUCUUCCAUGCCCUGCACACUGCCUGGGUCAGUUAAUUGCAGCAAGAUGCUGGUGAGAGCGAGCGAGGGGAAGCCCAAGAGGUAGCCAGCACAUCUCCGGGUGAGCCGGCGUGGUGGAGAGGUACAGGAGAGGUCAAUUAACCAGUGCCCUGGCCAGCACGGUUGGGAACUCAGGAGGUGAGCUGGUUUUGGCAGCAUUUGGAGAGGGACCAGGCUGACUGUAGUAGCAGUGUGCUAGGACUCCCUCAGUGUGCUUGGUGGGAUGCUGCCAGGAUUUAGUGCCCCGCAGAGCUGGCCUGGCUGCCCAGUAACAACUGCAGCCAGUGGUUCAGCUACACUGGGAGGGGAAGAAGAGGCAGGCCAUGAUCUAGAGAGACUUGUCGCUGGCUGGCAAGCUGUGCUUUCAGUGCUGUCUUGACUCCAAUGUGCCAUCUCCCCCAGGCUGUUAGGGAGGGGAAGUGGAGACUGCAUUCAAAUGCCUAUUGUCUGUCCUUCAGCUGGGAGCAGAGCCAGAAGAGAGAGAGGCUCUGGCAGCAUCUGAUACAGGGGGCAGAUGUUAGGGGAAACAUACUCAUCCAUAAAACGCUGUCGCUGGGAUUUUCAAGGGAGCCACAAAGGUUAAGUGCCCGUGUUUUGGAACGUGUACAUGAAGGUCGCAGAGAAAUCCUGGGCUCCUGGGAUCCUUGCUAGGCUUGGAGAAGCUUUUUGAAGGGUUUUUUUGAAGGGAUGAGCCCUCAUGCAGCAUCUGUGGGCUGUCCCAGGUGAAUGCUAUUCUCAGGCCCAUUUGUUUAAGCAUAGCCAGGGAGAAGGGCAAAGGUGCACAGAGCCAGAUUUGAUCUCCUGUGGGGGCCUUCAGAGGUGUGUAGCUCUUUGAGUUCAGCGUGGCUCCCUUCUCUUGUAGCCAGCUGCCAACUUCUGCAAGCACGAGCUGAAAGUAGAGUAUUUCCUGACCCUGCCUGUCCUCUCCCUUCACCCCUGCCAAAGCAGGGCUCGGCCACAGGUUUCAAGCAGAGCUGGAAACUUGGCGCCGAGGCAAGGAGCAGAAAAGAGCCCAGCUUGCUCUCCUCUGUCUGGGUUGGCUUCUGUACUGCUGCGGGGAGUACAAAUAUGUUCGCAAUCUGUUUGCUUCACUGACAUGACUCCAAGACACACAGGCAACAGAUACACUGACCAAGAAGGGGCCAUUGUUAGAGGGACCUCCUUGACUGUGGCUCUGCUGUAAGCAACUGACCGCUGCAGCUCCGCAGCGCUGGAACGCAGCCUCCCCGUGUCUCAUCCGCACCACUGAGAGCGCCCAGUCCCCCAGGGACCCCCUGCACAUUAGCAGGGGUUCAGUCCUGCUUUACUCGAUUUGCCCACCUACGUGCCCCGAUCUGGCUUUUUGAUUUAAAUGCCCGUCUCUGGCAGGCUGGUAUUAAAUCAAGCCGCAGAUUAAAGAAGUUGCAGUCGUUGCUUCCCUGUGAACCGUCCCUUUAUGUUAACUGCUGCUUUGCUAAUUGCACACAGGCAGACAUCCAGAGCAGGCAGAGAGCUUGCUCUGCACUGGAAGCUGGGGAGCCAAGGAACUGAUGGACAGGUUAGCGUUUUGGCUAAGGAGGAAUAAGGGCUCCAAGAGAACCAGAGAAGAGGAAGAGAGUUACCUCAUCGGCUUCCAGCAGCCGAGGCAGGGUUGUCCUCCAAGAGGUAUUUCCUUAAGCUUUAUCCAGUCCGAAUUUAGUUGCAACUUUUAUGAACAAUAAAGGCUUCCACUGUUUCCCUUGGAGGACCUGGAAGGAAUCCAAAUAGAUUUUAGUGCUGCAAAGCAGAUCCUGUUAUUAAUGUCAGCCUAAUAAUUUCUUUCCAUCUCCUUCCCACCUUUCUUGCCAUUCAUACUCUUAAAAAGCCUACAGACAGUUAUCAAGUCCAGUCCACCCUCUACUUUAGCUCCUUCUUAAAUUACAGACAGAAUUGUAACCCUGCAUAUGGCUUUUGGGUCUGUGAGAGCAUUUAGUGUCCCUGUACCAGACUAGUGUGCCUCAGGAGAGGCCUGGCAGCUCCACAUGUAAACCCCAAAACCAGCAGAACAGUGAAAUGGAGCUAAGCUGACCUGGGGAACAGCACGUGGCCAGGAACGCGCUUCCCUGCAGAGCAGCAACCCUUCCGCUGCUGGGCCUGUGGCUCUGGGAAAAGGGCUGUGACCAGGGCUCAACUGGGAGCAGUCGGCUGAGAAAAUUCUCUGCUAAAAAUAGCUGCAAGAUAUGUUUAAGGAGAAAAACAAGUCAGGGUCUGGGAGAAGUUCUCGGAUAUGUGGCUCACUCAACUCCCCCAGGACAAGGAAUCUUUGAACCUCUCUGGCCGAAGCUCAUUUCUGCUCUGUUAAACAAGCUUGCUCUGGUCAGGAAUCCAGGUUGGGACAAGGCAGAAGGGCUUUACUCCUCCCUCUUUGCUCUGACGUUGCCUUACUUUCCUCCUGCUUCUGCUGCUAAUUUAUGCCAGCAUCUUCCUAGCAGUGCUCUCUCUGCAUCUAGUUUCUCAUCUGUCUGUCAGUGACUUCAUUUGGGCUACCUUUAAUUCCUGAUGCGCUUCCUAAGGAAAUCCGUUGAACCCUGCAGUACAACUCCCUCUGCAGGUCUGAAGCCUGUGCUCGGGCUGAUGUUAAUAAGGUAAGUCUUUUUGGAUCUGUUACUGCGAUUCAGGGCAGCCCCUGGAAGGAUAUUCCCCCAACUCACGUCUUCAGGCCUUCACGUGGCCCACGCAGCUUUCUGCUGAAUGCAGUUUUCCCCUGUAAAUCUGCAUCCUUUGUUCUGACAGAUUCACUGCAAAGCUUCAAAGCGGCCGUGGAGCAGACAGCCCCACCUCUCCCGCGUGGAAUGAUGGCAGUAGUUUCACAGGCUCCGGGUAGCAAGCUCAUAGGCAGAUGUGAUUGCUCCCUUGGUGCCUGCAGUCACUUGCUGGCAACAUUCAUUUGUACAUGUUUUGUGCAACACAUUAGCUACACAAUUGUGUUUUAUACCCCAGGCUAGAAUUAUACACAUGAAAAAGAGAGGCAAAAUGAUACUGUAAAAUCUGAAAGAAAAAAAAUGCUCUUAAAAGGAGAGCUGUUUUCAGUCUUGUCAUAAAUGCUUUCUGUGUGUGCUUGCUCACGCCCUCUCCCGUUCCCUUCUCUAGCCUGCUAUCAGCUCCUGGCUCUGAUGACUGCUACUUCUCCCCAGCUCCCAUUUUCCACAGGAAGAUGACACGGUUGGUCUCUGAUAAGCAGAACUUCAAAUCUGUGCUUUGUUGGUCAAGCUAUAGGCUGGAGGAGACCUAAGGAUCAAGAGAUUAGAGUCACAGACAGAGGAAUAGAGGAUUAUAGGCUAAAACCCUGUGAGUCUCUGUAUUGAUGGCUGGGACACAGCCAGACACUAAAGAGCAUUGCAAAGCCUGGUGCUGAUAGCAUAUCCGCUUAUUUCCUGUCUUUGCAUUUCAGGCAGCUUUUGAUACGUGUGUCCUCAUCAAAAGGCAGGGUCAGGCAGGUAUCGAGCACCCUAGCUCCUGUGGAAGUCAAAUACCUGCUGAGACCAAGUCUGUGCAUCGGCUGGCACUCAGCCUGGAAAACGUCACUUUGGCUUAUGAGAUUCUCAGCAAUCCUUGAGUCAAAUUCCCACACAAGGGAAAAAAAAACAAACUUGUCCCACUUGCCCCUUUCCCGUUACAGAUCAUUCUGUCUCCCUGAUCCUGUUCACAGGUCCCUGCCAUGCAUCACUGGCCUGACUCUACCCUGGAGACUUCCUUUAACAUCUGUCUGCUGCCAAGAGAUCCUGUCGGGAGGAAGGGAGAGGACAGGAGGAAGACCAUUGCCUCUGGCUCUUAUCACAGUUAUCAGCUGGUUCCCUCCCACUUGGCACUAAUUUGGUAUCAGCAUCUGCCACUUUUAGGAGGAAAGGGACUUGCUGAAGUGAAAAAUAAUGUAGGAUGUGCCAAUAUGGCAAUUCUUGGGGCUGGCUUGGAAAAGAAUGGAAGGCAAGUGGGAAUAGGCAGGAAGGGCUGGUUUCAGAUUUUCCCUGUGCAAAUAUUCCCACUUCUCUUUAGUGCUCACCACUUUUGUCCUUCACUUUUGCUGUUGUAAGGUCACAGAAUUAUACAUCCACUGCAGGCUGAUGUGGUGUAUUCCUUACUCUUCUGUAACUUCCCAAUCCUCAUUUUCUUCCUCCAGUGAACUGGGCUGUACAUCCUUACUUAACUGGAGGUGACACUGAAUUUGAGGAGACCAAAGCUUAACUGAUGAAUGUAAAGCCCUUUAAUAGAUCAAAGUGAUCACGGGGAAACAGUGCACAAGAGUUUCAACAGACAUCCAGGGGCCCAACCAGCUGUAUUCCUUGGGUUUUCGUGUCCUAAAGCAGAGGUGGGGAUGAGCUGACCUCUUGAGGUCUGCUCCUGCCCUGUUUUCAGUGAAUGCACUAAUUUUCAUGGUCAAGUAUUGGCUGUGAGCCUGCCCAGUGUGAAGAGGUAAUUAAGCUGUUCAUUUGUUAAUGAAAAUGGCACAAACAAUGCUCAGUACAAUGUGACCGUUUUAAUACAUACCUAGCCAAGUCAUCUGUAA